GGAGCCUGUCUCCAUUGACGCCAGUGUGACGGGGUUUGCAGUUUGUUAGGGAGUGCGAGCGGCAGAGCGGCUGCUCACAAUGGAGCCUUUAUCCCGGAGAGUUCCACUCGGAACGGGCACGAGGGAGGUCGGCCGAGUAGCCACCAGCUCAGUCCCAGUCCCGGUCCCGGUCCCGGUCCCGAUCACUCCCCAGACCCUCCACUGCUUCUAAUUCCCCCGUUUUGGAUUCAACCAAUGCUGACUCAUGUAUUGAUGACAGAAGAUUGGUUUAAAUUAACAAAGAUGCCUCUUUCAUUGACCCUGAAGAUUGCUGUGCUUAAAGCAGUGGAGCUUUUAUCAGCACAGUACAUAUGUGAUUCAUAACAGAUAAGUAGAAAGUGAUGUUAGGACUCCAUUUGUAUUUCUAAAUUAAUAUUAGAUAAUAUUUCAUUAAAAAAAUGCAACCCUUUACUAUAAACUGGCCUGUUAAAUGUUGCAUUAUUGUCAAAAAUAUCUGAAUGUUGAUCUAAAAGAUAUAACAUACUGCUCCCUUACUCUAUAAGAUUACAAAAGACAAGAGUCAUACCACAAAGAAUAGUGUUUUCAUCAUAAAAUGUGUGUUUAAGAACGCACCAAAAUAUUUUACGAUAACUCUUAACUCCAUUGUUUGAUAGGCAAAAAGUCAGAAAUACUUCCUUAAUUCAUAGAAUCCUAUCGAGUGGAAGGAGCUCAUUUGGCCCAUCAAGUCACCCCCUACCCUGCGAAGAGCUUCCUACCCAGGCCCAACCCCCGUAACCUUGCAUUUCCCACAGCUAAUCCACCUAGCCUGCACAUCCCCUAGACACUACCGACAACUAAGCAUGGCCAAUCCACCUAAUCUGCACAUCUUUGGUCUGUGGGAAGAAACCCACACAGACACACAGAAUGUGCAAAUUCAAGACACAGUUGCCCCGGGAGUGGAAUUGAACCUGUGACCCCGAUGCUGUGAGGCAGUAGGGCUAACCGCUGAGUCACUGUGAAUCGCACUAGUUCCUUUUAGCACAACAUCUAUUUUAGAUAGACCAGAAAAGAGAGACUUAUUUGUAUAGCACUUUGCACAAUCACUGGAUGUCUCAAAGUGUUUUGUAGCUAGUGAAGUAUGUCUGACGUGUAAGCACAGCUGUGAUGUAAGAAAUGGAGAAACAUUGUUUUGCAAACAGCAGUCCUAGUUUGAUCAAUGAGAAAGUACUAAUUCAUGAUCAAUUCAGAAUUCUGACGACUAAAGAUCCGUCUUGUAUCCAACUUACACAUUUGUUUUGUGCUGAGUUUUCUUCACAUUAUACAUGUUUCAGCUGAGCAAGGGUAGCUUACACUGACUGACUGGAUCACAGUGCAAAUUGAUCUUAAAAUUUGUUUUGCUUUCUUCUUUGUCAGCAAGUCCUUGGCCUCUGCUGCUUGUAAUUAUACUCCUGCUUCAUAACAGUCAAAACUUGUCAUAAUAGAAUUUUUUUUUUUUUUUUUUUUGGAGCAAACUUGCACCCUAAAACCCUAAAACCCUACAUUGGGAGAAGCAACACAGAGCUUCCAUAUUGUGAAGGAAGAUUGUAGUCUGUACAUCAAAAGUAAAAUGCAUGUGUUAUUCUAGCAGUCUUUUAUACCAGCCUUUCUGUUGUUAUGCUCUCUGAUCACAUGUAUGUUCACGUACUUUAAUAAAAUUGCACAAGAAAACAUGAAUUCUAUUGUACUACCUGUGGUACAAAGUUGUAAUCUGGAACAGUAAACAAUUUUGGACAUAUCCAGUGAUACUGAAAAGGACAGAUUACAUUCAACAUAUCGCAAAUGACUCCAAAAUAAUGGGCAAUAUAAAGAUAAUCUUUAUUUCCUGUCUUCCCCUGCAAUCACAUUUUGGCUGAUUUGGCAAUUCUGUUGUCGGACCACAUUGAGAUGUUUUCCCAAUACAGUCCAAAUUUAGCUUCUACAGCUGUAUUUGAAAUUACAAAAUUUGUCAUAAUGGAUUAAAUGUAAAAGGUUUUGGGACUUGUCACAAUACAUUCGGGCUACAUUGCAGUGUUCAUAAUUAUAAAACUAAACUAGUAGAGACUUGUUUUGAUCAUGUACGUCAUCAGUAAGAUUAAGCUGUGCAUUUAAUUCUGAAUAUGGGACGCUUAAUCACUGGCUGUUUCUCCUUGUAAUUUGAUGCAUUGAGUAUUUAAUAAUGAAACUCUAGAAUUCUUUUUUAAAAGUUAGGCUGGCACAGAAUUUCUAGUAUUUAAAACAUUCCCAAGAUCAGCAUUAAUUUGAUGUGAAAUUGAGUAAUAUUAACUAAUGCUUUUAAUCCUACAAGAUCACAACUGUAAACAUUUCUGCUUCUAUUAUUAAGUCAUCUGUUCUAUUAUUUCAUGCUUUGUUGUUGCAAGUGUAUUUCAAUACUAAUCUUAUUGCCGCCGUGUUUUCCUAAUUUAAUAAUUGAGCUGCAGGUUAUAUCAUUAAGUGAAUAAAACAUCUAGGCAACAGAAUGUUUGUUUUAUUUUAUAGUGGUUCUGAAUGCAAGUUUUAAAAUAUUUAAAUCUUAAAAUUUUUGGUUUUAAAUUAAACUGAAAAGCCCAAAUAGACAUCCAACAUAAUAAAACUGGGAAAUGUUGGAAAAAUUCAGCAGGUCUGGUAGCAUAUGUGGAGAGAGACAAUUCUGAAAAAGUGUUUAGACUUGAAACAUUAAUUCUUGUUUGUCCCUCCACAGAUACACUCAAACCUAAUUGAGUUUCUGUAGCACUUUGUUUUUAUUUUGGAUUUCUAGCAUCUGCAGUCUUUUUGUUUUAUUUAACAUCAGACAUACUUAUUUUCAAAAGGAAAUCAAGUUAUGACAGAUGUGUAGAAUUGUUUUAAAAUUAAAGUAAAUUAUGGUUAUAAACUUUGUUCUCAAAUUUUCUAAUUUAUAUAGAUCAACUUGUAUGUUAUGAUUUGUACAGUUUUUACAAUAGUGCUGCACUGACUUGCACAAAAUACACAACAGAUCGGUCAUCACCUGAAAGAAAAGCAGAAGUUAAUGUUGCAAAUGAAAACUUGCAGUGAAUGAAGGCCUCAUCUUAAAAUGUUGACUUGUCUUUCAUAUAUUUACUAAUUUUCAUUUUAAAACAAAAUUGAGAAACUCGUGCGAAUUGUAUUGAACAAACCCAAGUUUAGAAAGAAAAGCAAUUAAAUUGGGAAGUACUGAUUUUUUUUUUUGUGUAUGGUGCUGUAGAAAGAACAGAAGAGGAAAGGAUUUAUUGAUCACUAAUGAGAAAAAGCAGACUUGUUGAACAAUGGCAUUAUAUUUAUAUAUUUAAAAUGUCCCAGAAUUUCACAGAAACAUUAUAAAUAAAAAUAUGAAGAACUUUUGUUUUUAAAAAAAGUAUUCACUAGAUGUGGGCAUCACUGGGUGGACCUGCAUUUAUUGGCUAUACUCCUUGAAUUGAGUAAGAAAUGCUGAUCUAGCCAGUGAUAGCCAUAUCCUGUGAACAGAUAAAUAUGCAAGUGGCCAGGUAUCUUAUUUUGUUCUUUGAUGCUCCUAUGAAGUAUCUUCAGUGCAUUAAUGGCACUAUAUGGAAAUCAUAGGGCAGAUGACCAUAAAACUUGGUCGGACGUGUUUUUAAGGAGCAUUUUGAACGAAGAAAGUGAGGUAGAAAAGUGGAGACAUUUAGGGAGGGAUUUCUGGCGUUAAGGCCAAUGCAACUUAAGGCAUGUCCACCAUUGGUGGAACAAUUUAAAAUCCACUAUUUCAGGCCAGACAUGGAAGAGCACGUGCUUUGAAUGGUUGUAGGCCUGGAUGAGAUUCCAGAGACUGAGGGACAAUCAUGAAGGAGUUUGACAACAAGGAUGAGAAUUUUAAAAUCAAGACACUUAGGCAAUGGAAUGUUGAUCAGGAAGUUUUCCAUGGAUGCUGCCUGACUUGCUGUGAUUUUCAGCAUAUGAUAGGAAGUUUUUUUUUAAAAAAAAAAAAAAAAAACAAGGCACAAGUUGGGACACAAGCAGGAGAGUUUUAAGUGAUUUCCAGUUUAGAGAGGAUUGAACAUGGAAAGCUGGUCAGGAGUCAAGCUGAGGUAAUUUUGAGCAUGGACAAAAGAUUUCAGCUGCUCAGUGUGUUAAAGUGAGAUGGAGUUGGGUGAUAUUAUUGAAGGCUUGGAUAUUCUUCCAUAGUUGGCAGGUACAGGAAUAGUGUAUUUUCGAGUCUGAAACUAAUCAGUAUUUAAUAGUUCUGAUCAAUGCUGUAAAAGAGAUGAUUGCAAUGCCUGUCUUGGAUAUGCAACAAAUAUUCAAAUGUUGGGCAGAUUUUGAUAAGAGUCAUGAGGAAAUGGAAUGAGGGUGGAAAAUAUCUGACAGGAAAAAUUAUUCUAAAUGUAGCCAAUCUAACAAUGAAGUGACAGUUCCGCAAACUCUGCAUGUGAAACUACCAAUUUUGAUAAAGAUGAAAGAAUAUUAUGGAUACAGCCUCUGAAGGUAGGAGAUCAUUGUUGUGUUAAAAUUCCUAAAAGCAUGCGUAAACUGCUUCUUUUGAACAGUGAAAUAAGAUUUUUAUUCAACCAUUGACUCUCAUGGAUGUAAUGAGGAAGUCAUUCAACCACUAGACUGAACAUUUUUGGGAUGAGACUGUGCAAAUUACCAAUUUAACAUAUUUCCUUCAUUUUCUGUUUAGAUUUCAUGGUUCACCUUUUUUUUUAAAUUUUAUCUGAGAGUCUGUUUUAGCAAGACUUGGUUAAUUUUGGGAGGGGAAUGCCCUUGGAUUAUGCACCAAAUGUAGGCCAUUUUAUUGUUUUCAAAGUAUCUCUAUUUAUGCAGUGCCUGUGCCAAUUCAAUUGUUACUUUUUUUUUUUAAAAAUUAACCCAAUUUUCUAAUCAACCUGUUAAGCAAUGUUACACACAUCUGGAACAGGUGGGACUUGAACUGAGGCCUCCCUGGUUAAAGGCAGGGACACUACCCCUACACCAGUGAGAGGGCCUAUGAGAAUACACUUAACUAACUGAAGGAUUAAAUUUCAGCUGACAAAUUAGAUGUCACAUUUUUGCAAAUAACUUCAAGGCACAAGAAUUGUUGCCCAACAUGUUUUCCUUGAAUGUUGUCCAGCUUUUCUUGACAAUCUGUGGGUGGUUUGCCCAAAAAAAACUUGAAUUUUUUUUGUUUUUAACAGUUGAAAUUUUAAUUUUCUAUUCAUAGUUUUGGGAAUCAUUUUACAUCAGUUGGAAAUUACUAAACCAUUUGCAGACAAGUUCAUGUAUAGUACUAUCUAUUGGGGUUGGUUUAUAAUGGAAGCUUAAUGUAUAUUGGCACUUUCAGUACCAUUUUAAUUUUUUUCCCAAUUUAAAAUUUUCCAAAAUACCUGAACGCCACAAAAUUAUUGUUUGUUUAUGGUUGUGAUAAUCUAAAAUAGUCACCUGCAUAUGAUUCAAUAAUUGGUUUACUUGGGUCAUUUUUAUCAACCGCAUCAGAAAUUUGAUUACCAGUGCUGCUGCUAAGUAGGAUCUGUUUUAUAUCAUGAGGAAUUAAGAAACCAAGUAUCCUUUUGAGUAAUUAAAUACUAAAGAAAAAUAAAAUAACUUUGUGACAAGCAUAUGAAUACUUGAAUUACAAGGUUCUAAAGAAGUUGCUUUUGAUUGACUCUGACUCUUAGUAAGUUUGCAAUUCAGCUGUACUGUUCAUUUAACAAUAAACGUUUUGUUCAUUUUUACUGUGUCAUGUGUCUCUACUUUCCUCUUUACCUCACCCCUAACAAGCCCUUACAUACAAAAAAAAAUUAGCUUCAGACAAAACAAGAUCAGAAAUUGUAUCCUGGUUACCAUUGUAAACUCUCUUCAUGGAAUCUGAUUUGGAUCAAUAGGUAUCAAUUUGGAAUAGGUAAUUAAUGUUUUUCUUCAAGCCUUAAAUUAUUCUUUUAAUAAUUCCAGAAAAUGUGCAAUCCAUUCUGCUGCCUUUGAUCUAGUUGAUAACAAUCCUUGAUGCAUAGUGGAGGCGGCUUAUAAUUUAGCAAACUGCUGUAACGGUGUGACUAAGUUAGAUGUGCUAUUGACCUAUUUGGGUUUAUAUGUAAAUUUUAUUUGAGAAAAUUAUGUAUUGUUUUGAUGGAAUAUGAUUUGAGGGCGCCUGCCUCUUCCUGGUUGAAACGUGUAACUGCAACAGUUCCGGUUAUUUGAAUACAACUGUUUCCAGCCAAAUGAAGAACCUGCAAAGCGGUCAACCACUGGAAAUAUGCCACCUGCCAAGAAUAUUUCCAUUUAGGAACGUAAUGGGCGUUUUUACUUCAAUUGUUUUGUUUUUUUUUAACCUACUUUGAAGUGGGGCUUGGCGAUAGAAGUCUAUUCGAAAAUAAAAGCACGGGUAGGGGGGAAUCAAUUAUUAUAUCCCUUGACAAUUGUUACCUUAAAUGCAUCAGGUGGAGAAGGUACGGUGCCAGGAUAGUAAAUAUGGAUAGUGAUUAAAGGCGAAUCGACCGGUAAACUGUACGACUUGCUUGAUUGUGAGUUUGACAAAAGUGGAGUAUUCGUGGCACGCAAUCGUGGCCAAGAAAACGUCGACAUAAAGUACACCAACAGCAUGUGCCUGCAAAUACAUAUAAGCAAACUUGACCCCGUGUAAAAAAAAUAAAAUCCCUACGCUAAAGUACUAGCUCUAAAAAUAUCCACAAUGUCUUAAUUUGGUGUUCUCGAGUUUCCGACGGGGUUUAAAAUAGCCGGAGUAAGCCUUGCCCCUGUGUGCAUCACUUGCAGACUGACAGUGCUGUGCCAGACCUGCUAUUUUUGGCCGAGCCGCCUCUCUGCGUCAAUGGCAGCGUUCCUGCGUCACACGGCACUUUGCUGGGCCCGGUGCGCAGCCGCUCACAUUUUCCCUUCGUUCAUUAAAUUGUUUCGCCCACGAAUCACUGACGCUGUUCUGCAACAGGCCGGAUUAAUAAGCUCCUUCUGUCCGCUCCUCGCCUUACAUCAUUAAAGGUAGUCACCAGACUUUUCCCAGAGCCGUCCACCCUCUCAACAUUAUUUCCGGCAGUGUAUACAAUAUACACGCAAUUGUUGGACUUUUAUAUUUAGUUCUGCAGCAGAGCGGCGAUGUUAAAUAUCCAAUUUCGCUAUUUUCAGUGCAGCUCUUUUUAAAACGUGCAUUUUAUCUAUACAACUGAAACUUAUUGUCCCACGCAUCCGGCAACCCGAAGUUAUUAUACCUCCUGAUGUUUUUAAAGCUUUACAUUCGAUUAACAGGACGGUUCUCCCGGUAUCCAAAACAAGCGAUCCUUAAAGCGAUUCGUAUUAUCUCUGAUCCUUAAAAUACGUGUGUUUUAAACGAAUAAAUGUCAAUUGAUUAAAGCAAACAUGGGAAUUUUAUUUCAAUGCUAGCUAUUACACUCACCAGUUUCCCUUGCGGGCUCUACCGAAUUACAAGAACUGACAAAACACAUCGUUAAUAAUGGAAUAAAUAUACUGGAAAUAAAAAAAAGUACGCAGUUUACCGUGAUAAAAUACAUCCAAAAUAAGUGAUCAAUAAGAUCGAUAAGCUAUAAACGGCGAAUAUUCCAACUACGUGUUGUUUUGGAAAUGCUGAAAGAGGAGGUGAGAAGGUUGCCUCAAGUCAUGCCCCAACUACCUUAAAAAUCCAAAGCGUUAACGUCACCUCGGAAAUUUACCAAAGUGAGACUUAGCCAACCGUGUGGUGCGGGCCCAGCCCUCGGGCGCUCAUUGGGUUUGGCUACGCUGACGCUCGCUGACGCUCGGAGACUUGGUUACGAGCUGCCGGUGGAAGAGGAGCUCACAUAAACAAAGGCACAUUGGGAGAGUAGGGCCAGUCCGAGUCUGAUCGCCUGCUCAGAGUGCGGAGAACAGCAACCUGUACCGCUGCUGCCGCUACUUAAACCACACACUGCUGCACUUCAAAGUUCAUUCCAUGUUGAACUGAGUUUCUACUCACCCUGUGAUCUGCCGUAUUUAAAUGAGAAGUGGAAGUAAACAUUUAACAAAAAAGAUUUCAUUGUACUGUUAUCAGAAUUGCGUUUGAGAAAAAUCACCCCGAAUUCUAGUCUUCGGGAAUUCAAAUCACAGCACUGUCUACUUUCCAAUUCUUUAACAGCCACCUUGCUGAAGCCAUGCCCUGUGUUCAAGCUCAGUAUGGGUCAUCGCCACAAGGAGCCAGUCCUGCCUCUCAGAGCUACAGCUACCACAGUGGGGAAUACAGCUCUGACUUCUUAACGCCAGAGUUUGUCAAAUUCAGCAUGGAUCUCACCAACACUGAAAUCACAGCAACCACAUCGCUACCAAGCUUCAG